GAUGAAGAACGCAGCAAAAUGUGAUAAGUAAUGUGAAUUGCAGAAUUCAGUGAAUCAUCGAAUCUUUGAACGCACAUUGCGCCCGCUGGUAUUCCGGCGGGCAUGCCUGUUCGAGCGUCAUUUCAACCCUCAAGCCCCCGGGUUUGGUGUUGGGGAUCGGCUCUGCCCUUCUGGGCGGUGCCGCCCCCGAAAUACAUUGGCGGUCUCGCUGCAGCCUCCAUUGCGUAGUAGCUAACACCUCGCAACUGGAACGCGGCGCGGCCAUGCCGUAAAACCCCAACUUCUGAAUGUUGACCUCGGAUCAGGCAGGAAUACCCGCUGAACUUAAGCAUAUCAAUAAGCGGAGGA
rnacentral:misc_RNA from 1 species